rnacentral:rRNA from 1 species
AAGACCCGUGCCUACAGUUGCCAGCAUACCCUCCGGGGUGAUGGGCACACUGUGGGGACCGCCGCUGCUAAAGCGGAGGAAGGAGCGGGCUACGGUAGGUCAGUAUGCCCCGAAUAUCCCGGGCUACACGCGAGCUACAAUGGUUGGUACAAUGGGUAUCUACCCCGAAAGGGGAUGGAAAUCUCCUAAAGCCAAUCUUAGUCCGGAUUGAGGGCUGCAACUCGCCCUCAUGAAGCUGGAAUCCGUAGUAAUCGCGUUUCAACAGAACGCGGUGAAUAC